rnacentral:rRNA from 1 species
AUGGAGUGGAGCUUCAACAAUUCCGGCAUUGAUGUAGAUGAUGAACUUUGGGUGGUUAAUGUGCUGCCAAUUAAUGGUCUAGGGGAUAAUGUGCAAAGGAUAAUUGGACUGUCUGAUAUCACUUUUCUCAAGUUAGUGAGCUUGGUGUGCUCUGUUGGCUAUAACAAAAAGGAUACCAUCUAUUAUCAGUGCGGAGGAUUAGUUGGCAUGGAGCUAUUGGACAGUAAUAAGAAGGUGACAACAAUGGUAAAUCAGUACAAGAGCGUUAAGAUGUUGAAUCUGUCAGUUUUGAGGAGACCCGCACCAACCCGCGGCAAGAAAAGAACGAGGAAGCAAGCAUUGUUGAUAGAGCAGCCAACCAAAGAGGGCAUUAACGAAGUCAUAGUUGAGCAAGAAAAUGUGUUAGAGGAAAAAGUUGAGGUGACAGAGGAAGAAGAAGAGAUGGCAGUGGUAGAGGAAAAAGAAGAGAUGGCAGUGGCUGAGAAUUAUGAUGAUGAAGACUUGGAAAAUCUUGCUCGAUUAAAGAGACAGAAAGAAGAUCCUGCGGAGCACAUGGAGGGCGACACCGAUAUUGAGGACCUUUAUCCACUACUAGAUGAUACACCUGUUAUUCCUAUUGAAGAUAGCACACUUGAUUCUUGCAAUCCAUCAAAGAAGAGAGCAGAAGCAUGGCAGAAGAAGAAACUGAGGAAGGAUGCUAUUCUCGGUUCACAAGCAAAGUUGCGAGAUGUAACCAACACUCAAGCAUGUGAACUUUCAGAUCCAGGAAGUGAGGAUAUUGGAAUGGAUAUAAUAUCAAGCGAUGAUGAUGGCUUUGAACCUGCAAUAUCCGUUGCACCAAAAUGCAAGAAGAGUAGAGCACAACCACUUCCAACUAGAGUGUGGUAUGAUGAGGGCAGGUUGCUUGGAGGUGAACAACUCUGUUUGCAUAUGUGUUUUGUGAACAUGCAUCAAUACAGAAGAGCCUUGAAGAAUUAUCAUAUACUUCAAAGUAGAGACUAUAUGUAUCUUAGAAAUGAUAGAGAUCGGGUCAAUGUUUGUUGUGUGACUGAACUUUGCCAAUUCUAUAUGACAGCUUCAGCUAUCAAGAGAGAAGAGACUGUUUGCAUUAGGAAGAUGGUGUUACCUCAUACUUGUGGCAUUACCUAUGAUACUUCUAGAGUGGACAGCACAUGGUUGAGCAACAGGUAUGAGGAGAACUUUAGAGGCGAUCCAGAUUGGAAGAUAAGCGCGCUAAUAGACACUACCAAGAGAAAUCAUGGUGUAGACAUCACUCCUAUGAUGGCAUAUAGGGCAAGGAAUAAAGCAGCGGAUAUUGUGUUAGGAAAUCACAAACAACAGUAUGUGAGGAUCAGGGACUACUUGCAGACAGUGCUUGAUACAAACCCAGGCAGCCGAUGCAUCGUGACCACGGUUCAGCAGCCACCACCUGCAAUGAAUCCUAAGUUUCAUGGCUUAUUCUUCUGUGUGAAUGCAUCUAAGGAGGGAUUUUUGCAUGGAUGUAGGCCAUUCAUUGGUCUUGAUGGAUGCUUUGUUAAGCUGACUACAGGAGCACAAGUGUUGGCCGCCUCUGGAAGGGAUGGCAACAACAACUUGUUCCCCAUUGCAUUUGGAGUUGUUGGCAAAGAAGACAUUCCUAAUUGGUGUUGGUUCCUUGAACAACUCAAGUAUGCUCUUGGUGGCGACUCAGGGCCAUUUGGAAGGUGGACUAUCAUGUCAGACAGACAAAAGGGCCUGCUGAAUGCCAUAGACAAAGUAUUUCCUAAUUGUGAUCAGAGAUAUUGUCUUAGGCAUAUUUACGCAAAUUUUCAAACUGCUGGUCACAAGGGUGGUGAUCUUAAAAAACACAUGGAUAGUGCUGCAUAUGCUUACCAAAAGUCUGAUUAUGAUGCUGCUAUGAGUGACUUGAAGGCUGAGAGUGAAAGUGCAUGGGAAUGGUUGUCCAAAAUUCCACCUAGGCAUUGGGCAAGGCAUGACAUGGACACAAAUUGCAAAACAGAUUUAGUGGUGAACAACUUAAGUGAAGUAUUCAACAAGUAUAUCCUAGAAACUAGAGACAAGCCCAUUCAAACCAUGAUAGACAACAUUAGGACAAAACUAAUGGUCAGAUACAACAGCAAUAGAGAGGGGCUCGUUAAUUCAAAUUGGGAGAUCACACGAAACUAUGCAGAGAAGUUGGAACUUGAGAAGACCAGGGCAAAGCAUUGUAGGCCAGUAUGUGCAGGUCAAGGGCUGUGGCAAGUUACUUCUGGAUUGAAAACAUAUGUUGUUAAUGUCGAUGCUAAUACAUGUGGAUGUAGAAGGUGGGACAUUAAUGGUGUGCCAUGCAAACAUGCAGUGUCAUGCAUUUAUAAGAAAAAAGAGCAUCCUGAAGAUUAUAUGAGUGCAUUCUUCAAAAGGGCUAUGUACCAGGUUGCCUACAACAAUAUUAUAUACCCUGUCCCUAGCAAAGAUAGUUGGACAAAGACUGAAACACCCGAUAUUGACCCACCAAUUUUCACUAGACAUCCUGGAAGACCUAAGAAGAGCAGAAGGAAGGGAGUGCAUGAGGUGCCUCAGCCGGGUUCUAGACAUAGGAUGACAACAACGACAUGCUCGAACUGCCACAAACCUGGUCACAAGUAUACCAGUUGUACCACACCACUGAGAGUAGACUUGGCGAUAAGAAAAAACAAGCACAAGAGUAAUAGAAGAAUAUUUGAAGAAGGACCAAUCCAUGAUCAAGCUGAAGAAACACCACUUCAUGGUCAAGCCGAAGCAUCACCUGUUCAUGUUCAAGCUGAAGCAGCACCAGUUCAUGUUCAUGCUCAAGCUGAAGCAGAUACUUCAACUGGUGCAGCCAAAGGCAGAGGGGGAGGAAGAGCACAAGUAAAUGGAAGCGGAAGAGGCCGUGGAAAAGGCAGAGGCAGAGGACAAGCUGAAGCUGCAAUUCAAGAUCCUUUUCAUGCGCAUGCGGUCUUCGAAGCACAUGAUCCUUUUCAUGGGUUUGACAUACAAGAAGUUGCUUCACAACCAGCUGCAGCUAAUACUAGAGAGAAGCUACCAGUAAUGAGGGGUUCAGGUUCAACAGGGGGCAGAUUCAUGGAGUACUUCACUGCCAGUGGCAACCACUGA